GUUUUUGUAGUUGAAUACAACGGUAGUUUUUCAAAUUGCAGGUCUUGGUCGGAAUCCAGGCAAGAAUU
rnacentral:tRNA from 1 species